GUUGGGUCCUCAGCGUCUUGGCGGCAGUUGGUGGAACCGGAGCUUCGAGUCCGUCCCCGGUGCUGCCUGCGCGUUCACCUGAGUCUCGCUGGAGCUCUUCUCGCCCGCCCACCUCAUCUCAACCCACUUUCCGCGGGGAGCGGCGCCAAGCUGGGCCUUCCUCGGAUCAGGCGUCCCCUGAAGUCGGCACGCCCCUCUGCGUCCCCCUUCGGUCCCGCUAGGACCCCGUCCGGGCUGCCGUCGCCUCGUCGCUAUGGCGCCCACCAUCCAGACCCAGGCCCAGCGGGAGGAUGGCCACAGGCCCAAUUCCCACCGGACUCUGCCUGAGAGGUCUGGAGUGGUCUGCCGAGUCAAGUACUGCAAUAGCCUCCCUGAUAUCCCCUUCGACCCCAAGUUCAUCACCUACCCCUUCGACCAGAACAGGUGAGACUAAGGAAUGGGAAAACUACUCAGGUAUGAGUUCCUUGAAGGCAGGGACUGCUUGUCUCGUUGGCUGCUGUCUGCUCAGGGCCUAGCACAGUACCUACCCUAGCACAUAGUAGUAGCUGCUCAAUUGUUAAUGGAGCAAGCAGUGUCCAAGUCCCUUCCCACUGGGGAGCCAGCUUU
rnacentral:lncRNA from 10 species